CAGGGAGAAAGAAGAAAAAGAAGCUAAAAAGCGUAAACGUCUAGAAGAUGAGUUCUAUGAACUUCUUCAUGCAUCAAAGGAAAUUACUGCAAAUCCCUCUUUGGAGAUAGGCAAGUAGCUUCUUUUGCUUUUAUUGAUCUAGAAUUAGUAGCACGAUUGCAAGGACCAUUGGAGAAUGAUAAUUGAUAUUAUUUUCAAGGACCAACUCCUUCAAUAUUCUAAACUCAGUAAUUCACAUAGUUCUAGAAUGUACCUUAGAAUAAUAGCUGUGUUGAAUGAUUUGUUGUUUUAUAUUCCUCAACAUUUAGGUAGGCUA